UACGUAGGUGACCAGCGUUGUCCGGAUUUACUGGGCGUAAAGCGCGCGCAGGCGGUCUUCCAAGUCAGUGGUGAAAGCCCGGAGCUCAACUCCGGAACUGCCAUUGAAACUGUUAGACUUGAGGACGAGAGAGGUGAGUGGAAUUCCCAGUGUAGAGGUGAAAUUCGUAGAUAUUCGCAAGAACACCAGUGGCGAAGGCGGCUUACUGGUCCGGUUCUGACGCUGAGGCGCGAAAGCGUGGGGAGCAAACAGG
rnacentral:rRNA from 1 species